GGGUGCGUAGCUCAGUGGAAGAGCGCUUCCUUGACGAGGAAGAGGUCGUAGGUUCAAUCCCUGCCGCACCCACCA
rnacentral:tRNA from 1 species